rnacentral:lncRNA from 1 species
GAAUGGAUAUAAACCUAGGCAGCCCAUAGACUUGAUUCCCAUGUCUCAUCAACAUAAAGUCUCUGAGUCUGCACAAUCGUUUGCAUCACACCUGCAUUCAUUGCAUCAAGAAAUCAGCAAACGUAUUCACUCUAAUAACUUAAAAUAUAAAUUCCUCACUGAUUUGCACAGACGUUAUAAAGAGUUGAAUGUAGGAGAUUCUGUCAUGGUGAGAAUUAGACCUGAACGACUUUCUUCAGAAACGUUCAAAAAGUUGCAAUCCCGUAGUGCGGUACCGUUCAAAAUCCUAAAGAAAAUCAGUUCGAAUGCUUAUGUUGUAUAUUUUCCUAAAGCCUAUGGGAUUAGUGCGACAUUUAAUAUUGAAGAUUUAGUCCCAUACAAAAUAUCCACAUUCAUUCCUUUUGACCCUUUUGUUGCUACACCCGCCUCUGUUGAUCACCUUGACCCAUCACCUGCUAUUGAGCCUCCACCUCCAAAGUUUCAUGCACGCAGAGAACAUAUAGAACAUAUAUUAGAUGAGUAGGUUACAUCUACUAGGAGAGGAAGCUACCAACGUUACCUUGUUCGAUGGAAAGGUCGACCCGAAUUGGAUGUGACGUGGA